GCGACUAAGCGUACACGGUGGAUGCCCUGGCAGUCAGAGGCGAUGAAGGACGUGCUAAUCUGCGAAAAGCGCCGGCGAGGUGAUAUGAACCCUUGACCCGGCGAUGUCCGAAUGGGGAAACCCAGUGUGUUCCGACACACUAUCGUUAACUGAAUACAUAGGUUAACGAGGCGAACCGGGGGAACUGAAACAUCUAAGUACCCCGAGGAAAAGAAAUCAACCGAGAUUCCCCCAGUAGCGGCGAGCGAACGGGGAGCAGCCCGG
rnacentral:rRNA from 1 species